rnacentral:rRNA from 1 species
GCACUGCCCUUAUGACCUGGGCUACACACGUGCUACAAUGGGAAGUACAACGAGUCGCUAGACCGCGAGGUCAUGCAAAUCUCUUAAAGCUUCUCUCAGUUCGGAUUGCAGGCUGCAACUCGCCUGCAUGAAGCCGGAAUCGCUAGUAAUCGCGGAUCAGCACGCCGCGGUGAAUACGUUCCCGGGCCUUGUACACACCGCCCGUCACACCACGAGAGUUUGUAACACCCGAAGUCGGUGAGGUAACCUUUUUGGAGCCAGCCGCCUAAGGUGGGAUAGAUGAUUGGGGUGAAGUCGUAACAAGGUAGCCGUAUCGGAAGGUGCGGUUGGAUCCACCUCCUAAA